CCCUGGCCCAGGACCUGGGUGCUGGGAGCCGGGCGCGGUUCCCGUGGCAGAUCUGCGGCGCCUGGGCCGUUCCUCGCAGGGUGCUGGAGACCAGUGUCCGCAAAACGAGCCCCCGGAGCGGGAGCUGCCUUGGAGUUGGGCCUGCGCGGCGUCUCAGGCCCGGGCGCCCUCGGACGUGCCGGGUCUCCGCUCGAGCCUGUUGAAAGGCGCCUGCGACCCGCACAGUCACCCUGCGCCCCGCGGAGCAGGGCGCCCGGCGCAGUGACCUUGGGACUGAAGGUCAUGGGUUUCUCGGAUCCCCGGGAGCGCCGCAUUUGUGGGGGACAGCGGCGCGUUGAUGGAAGCCUCGCCAGCGUGUACCGGGCCGACUCCAGCGAAUCGCCCGUGUUCACGCACCGCUUCCCUGCGGCCCUCCCGGCCGCUGCGGCGAGGCGACCGGGCUGUGGGUCUCGGAGCUCGCUACGCUUCGUAGCCGCUGCUGCAGGCGGGCCGUGGCGGAACGGGACGGUGAUACGGCGACGCGAUAAAUGUUCGCAGGGGCUUUAGCUGGCGACAUCUAUCGUGUGAUGGACGGGGAAACUGAGGUCCUGAAGAGGAGGCAACUUGCCCAAGAGUGUUCAGGGUGUCUGCGUUUAAGACUCCCUAGAACCCGGGGGCUUUUCGCCGCGCUCUUAGCAGCUGGAGUGAGCCUGGCCUGUGCGUGGAACAGGCUGGAAGUGCCAGAGAGGUAACAGCCACAGGUCAGAUUCCAAAGACUUGGUAUAAAAAAAAAAGUAAAAUAUCACAUUAAUAUUUUCAUAUUGAUUACAGUGUCUAUUACAGUAUUCCAGUUCCUACUUUGAGGCUGAGGAAAUAGCCACAGGUGGAUCUGGAGAUGCAUCAGGCUUCCCGUGGGCUGAGACUGAGCCAGGGCUCUGUAAGACUUCAUUCUAAGCACAGGCGCAUGUGGUGUUUUGGGUCUUCUGGUUUUAAUCAUUCCUAUCUCAGAUCCUAUACCGCACAGUCCUUGCAAAUUCUGGACAUUCUCCUUUCCCUGGUGCUCAGUUAUCCUGAAAAAUAACCUCAGGUCUUUCCAGAGGAAUGGUUGGGGAAGUAUUUACUAUACAUCUAUGGCUCCCAGCCCCCAGGCUGUGGCCUGGUACCCAUUCUCGGCCUGUUAGGAACUGGCAGCACAUCACCACAUGAGCUCCACCUGCCCCCUCCUCACUCUCUUGUCUGUGGAAAAAUUGUCUUCCGUGAAACUUAGGAACUGGGCCACACAGCAGGAGGCAAGUGAGCAAAGCUUCAUCUGUAUUUACAGCUGCUCCCAUCUCUUGUGAUCUGCCUCCGCCUCCCCCCACUCUCGCUGCUGACCCCUCUCCCCAGUCCAUGGAAAACUGUCUUCCGUCAAACCAAUCCCUGGUGCCCAAAAGGUUGAGGACCACUGCCAUACGUACGUAUAGGUGUUGCAAGGACCUUCCUUAAGGGAUGUCUGGCUUCCUUUUCAAACAGUGAGCUCUGGGCCUGUGAAGUGACUACAGUGACCUGGGAGCUUGGGAGGGAAUGUGAUUUUUCAUUGGGACAGCUGACAUUAGCCUUUUGUUCACAAGCUCUUGUUUUUAUUAUUAUUAUUAUACAAAUCAAGCAUGAACUAGUCUGCUGUUCAUCUUUCUCCCCACUAGGAACACUAUGAUCCAUUGUCAUCUCUCCAGAUCCCUGCAAGUCAAGGAACCCUGAUGCUCACCACUCUGGUUUUGCUUCCCAAUACAGGCUAGAGUGCCAUGGUGUCAGCCUAGCUCACAGCAACCUCAAACUCCUGGGCUCAAGCGAUCCUCCUGCCUCAACCUCACCCAAGUAGCGUCCCUGUGACCUCAACCAGAGAACCUGUCGGGGACAGGAACAAGAUGGCCACUCAACAAUCAUUAAAUGUUUACUGUGUAUCAGGCAGUGAACUUAGCCUUUACAUUCACUAUCUCAUUUAACUGUCACCCCAACCCCAUGAGGUAAGUCCCAUUAUUCCCGUUUUAUACCCAGGGAAACUGAGGCUGGAAUAUAAAGCUGCCUGCCAACAGAGCCCAUCCAACUCGAGAGCCUUCCCACAGCCUUGGAACAAGCAGAGGGGCCUCCAGGGCUCUACUGGAUACCCAGGGUAAUUUGGUUUGGCCUGACCAACACUCUGCUCCGGAUUCUGCUCCCCUUUCUCACACUGUGUGUGUCUUUGUGUGGGCUCAUAUUUCAUUGUGAAGUGAAAAGUGUAGUUCAUAAAAUCAAAGCAUUGUCAGAGUUGUAGGUUAUUAAGUACAAAAUGUGCGAUUUCCUUAAGUAGUAAGUUUGACAAUUGCUAUCUCUGACAUUUAGCUUUGAGACUUCUUGUUUUAUGUUUAUUGUGAAGGUGCAUCCUCAUUCUUUCAAAUG